rnacentral:rRNA from 1 species
AUUGAACGCUGGCGGCAGGCCUAACACAUGCAAGUCGAACGAGCGGCGGCCGGGUGAGUACUGUCUGGGAAACUGCCUGAUGGAGGGGGAUAACUACUGGAAACGGUAGCUAAUACCGCAUACCAUCAGAUGUGCCCCGAUGGGAUUAGCUAGUAGGUGGGGUGACGGCGCACCUAGGCGACGAUCCCUAGCGGGUCUGAGAGGAUGACCAGCCACACUGGAACUGAGACACGGUCCAGACUCCUACGGGAGGCAGCAGUGGGGAAUAUUGCACAAUGGGCGCAAGCCUGAUGCAGCCAUGCCGCGUGUGUGAAGAAGGCCUUCGGGUUGUAAAGCACUUGCAGCGGGGAGGCGUUACCCGCAGAAGAAGCACCGGCUAACUCCGUGCCAGCCGCCGCGGUAAUUC